UCGGAAUUACUGGGCGUAAAGCGUUCGUAGGCGGUUAGUUAAGCUAGAUGUGAAAGCCCCGGGCUAAACCUGGGAACUGCAUUUAAAACUGGCUAACUAGAGUUUAGGAGAGGGAAGUGGAAUUUCAGGUGUAGCAGUGAAAUGCGUAGAGAUCUGAAGGAACACCAGUGGCGAAGGCGACUUCCUGGACUAAAACUGACGCUGAGGAACGAAAGCGUGGGUAGCAAACGGGAUUAGAUACCCCGGUAGUCCACGCCGUAAACGAUGUCAACUAGCCGUUGGGCCUAUAUACAGGUUUAGUGGCGGAGCUAACGUAUUAAGUUGACCGCCUGGGGAGUACGGCCGCAAGGUUAAAACUCAAAUGAAUUGACGGGGGCCCGCACAAGCGGUGGAGCAUGUGGUUUAAUUCGAUGCAACGCGAAGAACCUUACCUACCCUUGACAUCCAGAGAAUCUGUUAGAGAUAGUAGAGUGCCUUAGGGAACUCUGAGACAGGUGCUGCAUGGCUGUCGUCAGCUCGUGUCGUGAGAUGUUGGGUUAAGUCCUGUAACGAGCGCAACCCUUAUCCUUAGUUGCUAGCAGGUCAAGCUGAGAACUCUAAGGAGACUGCCGGUGAUAAACCGGAGGAAGGUGGGGACGACGUCAAGUCAUCAUGGCCCUUAUGGGUAGGGCUACACACGUGCUACAAUGGUCGGUACAGAGGGCCGCAAACUCGCGAGAGUAAGCUAAUCCCAGAAAGCCGAUCUUAGUCCGGAUUGGAGUCUGCAACUCGACUCCAUGAAGUUGGAAUCGCUAGUAAUCGCGAAUCAGAACGUCGCGGUGAAUACGUUCCCGGGCCUUGUACACACCGCCCGUCACACCAUGGGAGUGGGUUGCAAAAGAAGUGGGUAGUCUAACCUUCGGGAGGGCGCUCACCACUUUGUGAUUCAUGACUGGGGUGAAGUCGUAACAAGGUAACC
rnacentral:rRNA from 1 species